UUACACUUACAAUUAAACUGUACUAGAAAAGAGGAAAAGUGUGAAGAUUUGUUGAAGAUUAUUCCAUCCGUCAUUUGAAAAUCCAUUGAAGAAAGCUAGGAACUAGGAAGGACGAUUUUUCAUCUAUUCCAGCUGUUAAGUUCACUGCUUAUACCUGACACGACUUGGAGGCCAAGAGUGCGGUAAUGUUCUGUGGGAUCAUAGGUGGCAUCCUCAACAAAAUCCUCAGUCUUCAUGCUGGAUAUGCUUCGGUUAUCUUUUGCAGCACGCAGAGCUUUCAAACCUUCUGAGCGAAUUAUCUCCUGAGCAACAAAAUGUAGAAGUGUUGUCUUACCAUCCGUUCCUUUCACAUCAGCAAGUUUUAAGAGGGUAUCAAGUUUGAAGGCCUGAGCCCCUCCACGGUAGGUGCCAUCAUUCAUACGGUUGCCAGUUUUCAGAACGGCUUCCAAGAGUUUAAGGAAUAGUCUACUCUUUUUGAGUUCAUCACAAGCCACCUGUAAGACAAAACAAAACUCAUAUGCGCCUACAAACUUCAGACAAAAUAACUCAUAAUCUUUUAUGUUCAAGGAUAUACUACAUAAACUAAGUGAAAAGGUCAACAGCUCAUUGGACGCUAGUAAUUUGGCAUGGCCAAAUUUAACUUUUACAUCUGCAUUCAGCUAAUCGGCUUUCCUAGAUAUAUUCUUUGAGACGAUGGGAGUUCAGGUAAUAUAAAUCAGAAUAAAACCUAAGUUUAUUAGAAACUUAUAUAUCUCCUUAAGAUACUAUCCCCUAGGUCAAAGAGAGAUGUAGAAUGGAAAUAAAACAGAUGUUUUGAAUACAAUGGAUGGUUAGAACUUUCUUACCUCCAAAGUAACAAAGGACUCUUUGAUACUGGAGACUUCUUCCUUGAAUGUCAUCAUGAACAUCAGUGAUUCCAUUCUUCUAAAAGCAAACGGGAUAUCAACCAAUACUUUCAGGAAUCUUUGUGCAGGUCCAAGUUGAGAAACAUCACCAUUGAAUAAUCGAAGCUUUAGUUCUUCUUCUUGUGUUGGUGCCAUUCUCAGCAAUGUUUGCAAUAGCUCUGCCGGAAGUUCAUUACCUAACUCAUGCACACACCUUAGAUUGUCACUAAUUAAAAAAGAAUAAUAUGAAAAAAAAAA